AAAGCCCACGGCUCAACCGUGGAGGGUCAUUGGAAACUGGAAAACUUGAGUGCAGAAGAGGAAAGUGGAAUUCCAUGUGUAGCGGUGAAAUGCGCAGAGAUAUGGAGGAACACCAGUGGCGAAGGCGACUUUCUGGUCUGUAACUGACGCUGAUGUGCGAAAGCGUGGGGAUCAAACAGGAUUAGAUACCCUGGUAGUCCACGCCGUAAACGAUGAGUGCUAAGUGUUAGGGGGUUUCCGCCCCUUAGUGCUGCAGCUAACGCAUUAAGCACUCCGCCUGGGGAGUACGACCGCAAGGUUGAAACUCAAAGGAAU
rnacentral:rRNA from 1 species